rnacentral:rRNA from 1 species
ACGAACGCUGGCGGCAUGCCUCACACCUGCAAGUCGAACGAGAUCCUUCGGGGUCUAGUGGCGCACGGGUGCGUAACGCGUGGGAAUCUGCCCUUAGGUUCGGAAUAACAGUUAGAAAUGACUGCUAAUACCGGAUGAUGACGUUAAGUCCAAAGAUUUAUCGCCUGAGGAUGAGCCCGCGUAGGAUUAGCUAGUUGGUGUGGUAAAGGCGCACCAAGGCGACGAUCCUUAGCUGGUCUGAGAGGAUGAUCAGCCACACUGGGACUGAGACACGGCCCAGACUCCUACGGGAGGCAGCAGUGGGGAAUAUUGGACAAUGGGCGCAAGCCUGAUCCAGCAAUGCCGCGUGAGUGAUGAAGGCCUUAGGGUUGUAAAGCUCUUUUACCCGGGAUGAUAAUGACAGUACCGGGAGAAUAAGCCCCGGCUAACUCCGUG